GGGCCACUUCCUUUCCGGGCAGCGCGGUGGAGCGUAAGCAUGUUCAGCUACGUGGUGGAGAGCGGAGGCCGUGGGCCGCGGAACCCGGCGUGUCCUCGGGCUCUUCCAGGUGCGAAUCCCGCGGUCUACCUACCCCUUGGGUGCGGAGUGGGGCUCCUUGUUGGCGGCGCCGGUCCCUAGCCAGGUGCAACAAAACCUGUCUCUUUUGAGGGUGCUUGAGCAAAUGUUUUCCAAAAACUUGUCCUGGAAAGUGAUUGGAACAAGCUGCCAGAACUACGGUUACCAAUAACAAGCAUGUAGGUAGCUGCAGUGAACGUCCAACUUCGGGAGCUGUGAUGUUUAAUCCUCGUUGUUUUGGGUCCAGCACACAGUUUGGAAUGUAAAAUGAAGACUUGGUCAAGAAACCGUGAAGGGGGGGCCUGGAGACAUGGCUCAGUGGUUGAGCACCGACUGCUCUUCCUGAGUUCAAAUCCCAGCAACCACAUAGUGGCUCACAACCGUCUGUAAUGAGAUCUGAUGCCUUCUGGUGUGUCUGAAGACAGCUACAGUGUACUCAUAUAUAAUAAAUAAAAUAUUUAAAAAAAAACAUGAACGGAAGCAAAUGGUGAAAAUUAGUAUUUAAUUUGGUAUCAAUGUUAUGUAGAAAUAAACAAUUGAUUUUAAUUGCUAUGAGCAUUAGUUUCUUUAAAAUGCAUGUCUUUAAAACGCCAUUCUCAUAGUAAAAUAAACCUCAUCCUUCAUGAGCUGCA